GCACGGAGGCAAUGGCAAUAUCAUAGCCAAUGAGGUUAAUUCAAGGCAUGAUUAUUGUUAAUUGAAAACUUUCCUACUUAGCC